GGCCAGUACAGAUGCUUGAAUACUAACACUCACUACUCUACCCCAACCGAUGGCCAAGGUUGGCACAUUAACACAGAAACAAACAAUUGAGUCCGUUUGGUGCUUUGCUGAUGAAGCCAUCCCUUGCUCUUACGUGGAAUGCCAGUGGGGCAGAUAACCUGGAGAAGUUCAGGCCUGUGAGCUCUCUCACUCUCUCACGUGACUUCAAGGUAACCUCUUGGCUAUGGUUGCUGUUGGAGCUCACCUUGUGCCAUAGACGCUACCUAGAGGAAAACCAACUCCUAGUUACGGAAAAAUCAUGUCCCAUGCUGGCCUCCUGAUACAUAUGAAGAUGAUGCAAUAUGAAAAUGUAAACAGUAACUGAAGAAAACAGGAUGCCCAUCUGGGGUUCUGAUGAUAGCAGUGAGCUCUUUCUGAGCUACAGGAAUCUUUAAGGAUGAAAAGACUUCAGCAGCAUUCGCAGUGGAGUAGGUACUAAAUGCUUGUCUCUCUGCUUCUCUCCCAUUCCCUUCCCCGCAGAUGUAAGCAAUGAAUGACCUCGCCAUCCAAGAAAUGUACUGACUGAUCAACUAUUGAGCAAACAUUUUAGGCGACGUCUGUGUGACUGGCUCUCCUGGGCUCCAACCAGAGUUGUUUCAGAAUGAGAAAGAGCCUUAAUGACUAACCUGUAAGGGCAUGGAUGGCAGAGCACUUGCCUAGUAUAUACAGGGUUGUGUUCCAUGUCAAGUACUACACCAAAAAAUAUGCUUAAAGCUACAAAUAUAAACCAUUCUAACCGCUUGAAAAUAUGCAGUUCAGGGGUGUGGGACAUGCUUACGGUAUUGUGCAAUGAUUUCAACUGUCUACUUGCCGCCUGUUUAUUUAAAAAUAGAAGCUUUGUAACGGUUAAACAAUUUCUCACCAUCCCACUUCUCCUAGUCCAGGCUAAUCCUUUCUGUCUCCAUGAGUUUGCUCAUGUUCUGAAUCUCUCUUGUAAGUGGCAGUACAAUCUUUGUUCUUCUGUGUCUGGGUUAUUCAACUCAGGAUACUUUCUCAGGUUUCAUCUGUGUUACAACAUGCAUUCGAAGAUCAUGAAAGGUCACUAUUCCACUGCAUGUGAGCUCUUCAUUUGAUCACCAGGUACUUCACUGUAACAUCUCCAUCUUACUACGAAACCAUGUGUGAUUUCCAGUGUCUAGAGAAAACUGAGGUCCUGGGUUUUCCCCAGACAGAAUUGCUCCAGGAAGAUACAGCCAAGAUACCUUGUCUAUGAAUAAUAGUUUCAAUAAGAAAGACAGGAUGUGUUCUGACAGGAAGGCUGGGAGUUGUGACAGGCAGAAGAAAAAUGAAGCCAAACAACAUGGAGAUGUGUCAUCACUGCUGGGCUUGGCCUUGAUCUACAUCCAGUCAUCUACACCUUUUCAUACCGGGUACUCACUCAGCAAACAGCAUAUCUGCCUUGACUUUGAAGUAAUGGAUGAACUUUCAAGCGCAAUGCACGGAAAUGAGUCUCACUACUUUGUGCUCCCAACAGGCGUCCAUCAGCCCCUGCGUCCAUACAACAGUCCUAUAUCGAGAGCUCCCUCUGUGUGUUAGGCCCAGUGCUAGGUACUAGAAGUUAUCAAUCACAUGGUUACUAGAAAUUAUAUAAUAGUGAAAUGAACAGUUUGAUUUUUAUCUUUAAGAUUCAUUUUAUGUUGCUGGAGAGAUAGCUUAGUGGUUAAGAGUUCUUGCUGCUCCUCCAGAAGACAGAAGUUCAGUCCUUAGCACCCAUGUUGCGAGGCUCAUGACAUCCUGUAACUCUAGCUCCAGGGGGUCCAAUGCCCUAUUCUGGCCUAUAUGGACACCUGUACACUUGAGGCAGACACACAUAAACUGAGGAAUAAAACAAAACUUAAAUAUUAUACCUCAAGGUAAAGCCUUCUAACCAGAAAUCCUUGAGUGGAUAGAAAAGGCAGUGAAAAGUAUAAUCAGUCAAGAAGUUCUUAGUAGACAUAUGUUAGCAGUCUUAUUAAAAACACUUCUAUAUUCAAUGUUUAAAAUCUAAAAUACUUUGUGCAUGUGUGUGGUGCAUGUGUUUGUGUGCACGUAUGUGCAUGUGCCUCUAUAUGUGUGUGUGUGAGAGAGAAAAGGGCUAGGGAGAGAGAGGUAGGCACGGAGAGAGAGGUUGAUGUUAGUGUCUUCCCAGAUGGCUUAUUUUUGGGAAAAGGUCUUACUCUUAAUGGAUCUGGAGUUCACCAAUUUGGGUAGGCUGGCUGAAUACAUACGGAGAUCCACACAUCUCUGUAGCUUCCUUUGGAUCUGACAUUAUAGGCAUGUGCAGUUGUCUGUGCCUGGCUUUUAGUGGGCACUGGGGAUGCAAAUUCAGGACUUCUUGCUUGUGUGAUUGGGUUUUAACCAAUGGAACCAUCUUCACAGUCCCUGAAGUGUUAUUCCCAGACAGUUAUGAGUCAGAUGAAACAUUAUUGACUCUGGAGAUGCUCCAUUUGUUGCUCAGAUGGAAAAGUUAAUGGUUUUCUGUGAGUUUUCCUUUCUGUGAGAGUUCCUUUCCAGUAACUGCGGCAGUGAAGCCCUUCUGUUUCUCAGGAUGGAUUUUCUGCCUUUCGUUGUUUACAAUUCAGUGCUAUAGUAGUAGCGUUAAAGUCAUGGUCAUUAAUGUGGGAGAUGAGGUAGUCAAAAGGGACAGUGGUUCAAAGAAAAAAUCAUUAGUCAAGACAGAAAGUUACCAGUUGAAUGAUAAAGUAUUUGGUAAGAUUGUGGCAGACAAAAACCAAACAAAAGCAGUGGGUAUUUGAAAGGCAUUCUGAGACCAUCAUCUAUCUAAUGGCUACAGUGAAGGAGAUAUAGGUGAUGAGGGCCUGCCAUGGAAAAGAAUUAUCAUAAACAAGAAAGUAAGACAGCAUCUGGCUUGUGCUUGCUUAUUAUUAUCUAGUAGGUUUUGUUUUUUGUUUUGAAAACAGGGACAGUGUUAGUAGUAAGGAAAGACGAUGGUAUAAUUGGUGCUCAUAACAGGUUUCCUAGGGGCUGAUGCUUAGUAGAAAUCUUGCUUAGUAUACAUGUAUGAGGCAUCUGGGUUUCAUCAGGAGUCCCAAAAGAACUGGGUGUGGUGGCUCACACUGGUAUUCCCAGAACCAAGGAGACAGGGAGAGGAAGAUCAGGAGCCCAAGUCCAUCUUCAGCAUGAGAAAGCUGGAGGCCAACUUGAGAUAAACGAGACCUUCUUGAAAGGAGGAGGAAGGAGAGGAGGAGACAGCCAGAGGAACGCACAACGAAAGAACAUCUCGCUAAGAUACAGCCAUCGCACUCUUGAACAGCUUUCGAUGACCUGCAUAAGUCACAAGGCCCCAUGCCUCCCUGAGAGAUGAGUGACAGGUGACGACGGGUGCUGGUUGUAGGGAUGUCAUUUAACUACUUACUAAUUGCAGUUAGUGAUGUAGGUGCUUUUAAGCUGGCCUUGCUUCAGUAAUAACCUCGCAGCCAUGCUCAUGCAAACGGCCUCAAUUAAACUCAGGGGGUCAUUCACAGGAAAAAAACCUUGAAAGCAGGGAAAUUUGCUAGGAAGAAGUAUGUUAGAGGGAAGGGGAGA